UGCUCCUGUUGCCAUAGAAAUCUUGGGAGUC
rnacentral:piRNA from 1 species